CAGGCUCCUGAAUCACUCCACCCCGACAAGCACGAGAAACCGACCAAAACAGACUGUGGACACAGAAAAAAGCCUUUCUGCAGACGAAGCAAAUUCUCCGUCUUCCCCCUGCAGCUGGCAGUCUCUGGAAAAUCAGAAGGGACACCCGGACGGCCCCCGUUGGCCAGAUUUGCAGCCGGUCAUCUGGCAGAACGAGGAAAGGCGGCGGAGCAAGCAGAUCAGGAGGGAGUAU